rfam:Ornithorhynchus anatinus chromosome 12, whole genome shotgun sequence.
CCCCUCUCAGGAUUGCACCUGGAGAGUUUCCAGAACUCUACCAGUCUCCGCUACGGGAGGGAGAGUCAAACAGAGCCGUAGCCAUUCAGUUCCUAGCUUGGGCGGUGGCUAGUGAGUGGAAGGCAAUCUGCUACAGGU